ACUGCGUAGUUAUCUCCGCUUGCGUAGAGUUCGCGUGGUUUUAUUUUGCGCUUCAUCGCUGCAAGCAACGACAAUGAACCCUGAACAAGAAGAGGCAGUACUGCUAGGCUUGUUGGCAAGUACCUUUCUGGCGAUGCAUGACGCGGAGAAGCAUUCGCAGAAGAGACGACACCAGCGACGGUGGUGGGUUCGUCCUGCUUUGCAAGAGUGCGAAAAGCUUGGUCACGCCACCAAACUACUACCCUUUCUGCGAGAUCGUGACGUGGAGUACUACCGAGAGUAAGUUGAGAUGUAUUGUUAUUCGUGACAACAAUUAAUUAUGGGAAAUCGGAUACCUCGAUGUGGUGUUGGACUGUAUGCAAUGUAUUUUGUAUUCGUAGGUACCUAAGGAUGCCUCCACUUUCGACACGCUCGUGCAGCUUGUUUGACCCCACAUUCGGAAGAAAGACACUAAUUUCCGGAAAGCAAUCAGCUCCGAGCACCGGCAUGCGCAAACUGUCAGGUUCUUGGCUGCAGGGGAAACUCUCCACUCAUCUUGUUUCAGUUUCCUAAAUGGACGCUCGACAGCAUGUGGCAUUGUGUCGUCGGUGUGCCAGGUGCUGUGGGACGUCCUUGGACCUUUAUAUGUUGCCUGUCCAUCAAGUGCAGGUGAGUGGCUACAGAUUGCAAGCGACUUCGAGGAACGGUGGAACAUGCCCCACUGUGUGGGCGCAAUUGAUGGAAAACAUGUUGCCAUCGAAUGCCCUCAAAAUCGGGAAGUGAGGACUACAACUACAAAAACUGUUUCAGUAAACCACUGCUUGCUAUCAGCGACGCGUG